rnacentral:lncRNA from 1 species
AAUCUUCCAGGCUCGCCUGCAGGACCUGUGCAAACCUGAACAUUCCUGAAAUUCGGGGGGGAAGCGACCACCUAUCCACCAAGCCCCAGUGGGGGAAGCUGCAGGGCUCUGUCAAAGGCAACAGAGAAAGAGAACAGCUUAUUGAGAGAGGAAGCCACCUCUUGUUUAGCCCCUGUCAUGUUUAUGUUGGAAAAACCCCAGCUUAGUAGUAUGAGAGCUGCAGGAAGAGGCUGCACCUGCGGAUAUGAGGCCCCUGGUCCCCUUCGGGCAGAAGUUACCUUAUCAAGGAGUUUCCAGAAGCACAGCCAGCUCUUGUUGAUGGGCAGGAGCCUCCUUCUCUUAAGACAACACACAGUGGAGACGUGCUUUAGGCUCUUCUAGGGAAAAUUUGCGCCUGUGGCCUGAGUCCAGAACACACCCUAGUCUUCUCUGGAGAGAAGCAGAGUCAGGGAAGGAAGAGAUUGUGUAAUGUGGACAGUGUUCAGUGCUCAUCGCUGAGGAAUCUGAGUGUCAGUUUGCAUUCAUCAUGGGUGGAGGGCUCCGCAGCUGGCGGAAGGCCAGCUGCAGUGUAAAGGUAGGACUCAAUGGUGAAGACUUCCUGGGGUGGAGGAAGUAGAGAAAUCAAAGGACGCUC